rnacentral:rRNA from 1 species
CACGUAGGGUCCGAGCGUUGUCCGGAAUUACUGGGCGUAAAGCGCACGUAGGCGGAUCUUUAAGUCAGGGGUGAAAUCCUGGAGCUCAACUCCAGAACUGCCUUUGAUACUGAGGAUCUUGAGUCCGGGAGAGGUGAGUGGAACUCCGAGUGUAGAGGUGAAAUUCGUAGAUAUUCGGAAGAACACCAGUGGCGAAGGCGGCUCACUGGCCCGGUACUGACGCUGAGGUGCGAAAGCGUGGGGAGCAAACAGG